CUGACUCACACAGAGGCAGCUUCCAGCCUUCCACAGUUCUUCCAAUUCGACACAGUUAUUUAUUUAUUUUUUUAAGGUCCAAACUCCUGUGCAGAGCAAGCAUCCAAAUGCUGUCAUCCUCUCAGCCCCAUGCUCUAGCUCAUUUUUCACACCACUGGAUUUAAUUUACUAUUAUCGUGCCUGGAAUGUGUUUGCAUCUGUAUUCUUGAGAGAUUGCUAUACAGCUCAUUUGAGGCCUCACAAGAUUAAAACUUGAUGCUUCAGACCCUCUGAGCCCCUUUGUCUGCGUGGAACGGGUCUCUAGUCGCGGGUGGACAAAGCGUAGGAUGAGUGACAAACAGACGCACACAGGAGAGGUCGAGGAAUCUGAAUGUCAUUUUUCAAAUCGAGCAUCAGACUUUUUAUGCAGAAGACAAUAAGGAAGUUGGAUGACAUACCUGCAAGCUUUCCCAGAUAUCUCUGAAGAUACCAUUUUGAAUAGGACUCACAUCACUCACUGCCUUGGAAAACAAAUUCGGGGGACCAAAGCAGAGACAAGCCACAGCAAGUAAACAAAGCUCUAGAGGAGAAGCGUUCCACUGCAGCCCCACGAAUCUGCAUGUCUAUCACACCCAGUGCCUGUAUCAUGGGUCUCUGGACUCUCCAGGGAUUUUCUGAAAGCCUGGUUGUUCUUCCAGAAGGGACAGAAGUGCCACUAGCAAGAAAAUCACCUCACCUGUGGCUCUCUAGGCCCCUAACCUAUACCCCUUUCCAAAUUGGAGAGUUUGAGAAAUCCUAAGACCAUGUCUGACUACAAAGUACCACUGUCUUGAGUUUGUAAUGCUCUUCUCUCUGGAUUGGAGCCAGGAUCCACCUCUGUGGGUGGGGAGAGCAGUGUGAAUUGUUUCCCAGAGAAACCCCACUUGGUUUCUUCUCUGUGUUGGACUCUUCAGGGUGGAGAUCACUCUGGCCAUGCAUAAUCAGAUUAACAUCAACGGUCCUUUACUCUGAAGAAGCCAUGGAGACCCCUCUUGCUGAUUAAGCCAGCUCAGGCUCCUGUGGAUGCUAUGGCCCUGGGCACUGAGCCCAGCAUCUGAACUUGUUCCUGGACCAGAGGUUCGAGAUGUCCACUUCUGAGGCCAUUUACUUCUUUGUGGGCCACCAGCUGUU
rnacentral:lncRNA from 1 species